rnacentral:tRNA from 1 species
UGGCUCAGAUGGUAAAGAAUCUGCCUGUAAUGCAGGAAACCCAGGUUCAAUCCCUGG